rnacentral:rRNA from 1 species
GACGACUUAAAUACGCGACGGGGCUAUUGUAAGUGGCAGAGUGGCCUUGCUGCCACGAUUCCACUGAGAUUCAGCCCUUGUCGCUUAGAUUCGU